CUUAUUUCCCGACUCCGAGCCUGUUUACCUAAGUCGUUCGAUAUGGUGGCAGUGCCAGUGAAAUUUCACUCAAUGGUUAAUUUGGAAACGGAUUGGCCACUCCUGUUUAGAAAGGUGUCGUAUUUUCAACUUC
rnacentral:ncRNA from 2 species